rnacentral:rRNA from 1 species
AUUGAACGCUGGCGGAAUGCUUUACACAUGCAAGUCGAACGGUAGAGGGGGCAACCCCUUGAGAGUGGCGAACGGGUGAGUAAUAUAUCGGAACGUGCCCAGUCGUGGGGAUAACGUAGCGAAAGCUACGCUAAUACCGCAUACGAUCUAUGGAUGAAAGCGGGGGAUCGCAAGACCUCGCGCGAUUGGAGCGGCCGAUAUCAGAUUAGGUAGUUGGUGAGGUAAAGGCUCACCAAGCCGACGAUCUGUAGCUGGUCUGAGAGGACGACCAGCCACACUGGGACUGAGACACGGCCCAGACUCCUACGGGAGGCAGCAGUGGGGAAUAUUGGACAAUGGGCGAAAGCCUGAUCCAGCAAUGCCGCGUGAGUGAUGAAGGCCUUAGGGUUGUAAAGCUCUUUUACCCGGGAAGAUAAUGACUGUACCGGGAGAAUAAGCCCCGGCGUAACUCCGUGCCAGCAGCCGCGGUAAAGUGA